UGUGCCACCAUUGAUGGAAGGCUACGGAAGGGAGAACAGUGAAAAGUGUCUGCUAAAAUAAUGUCAAAAGGCUUCUAAGAAGAAAUAUUUCGCUUAAUUUUUGUGUGAUUAAUUGUAAACUUUUAAGGGAGAUUUUAUUUGGUGAAUUUUAAGUGAUAUUAUUAUCGAGAAAGGGAAAAACUGGAAACCGGCUAGUCGUGUUCCCGGUCUUGACACUGCAACUUGCCGACGUGGACGAUAAGCGUGUAAGGUUUCGAUGGAUAGACAGAAAACAGACAGUUUUCUCUAAGUUUAACGUCACGGCAUCGGUUUUUACUUCAUUAUUUGUGUAAUAUUUCGGAUAAUUUUAAGUUUAUUAGUUGAUAACUUAUUCUACGUAAUUAAAAAGGGGCGUGGUGUUUGUACGUGCACUUGUUCUCAGUCAGGUGUUUCAUUCUACAUUGCCCCCUUCUACCUCAGAACUGAAUAUAAACAUGGAUCCGCAUGUGGUUUUAAUAGGAGUGACAGUUUUCAUAGUGUCAGCCAUCUUAAUUUAUUUGAUAUCUGUCUUCGGCAUAAAAGAAAAGUCGUAUGAAGAAGCUAUAGCUGAGCAGAAGAAGAGGUUUGAAGAAGAGCAGGAGAAGGCAAGAAGAGACAAGAAAGCAGGAAAGGAGAAGAAGGAAAAGAAAGGAGGUAAAACUAAGAAGGACAAACCGAAAGAGAAAGUAGAUGAAGUCCCAAAGGAGACCAAGGAAGUUCCUAAGGAGCAUAAAAUGGUCAAUUUGGAGAUUGAAGCCGAGAUCAUUGAACCUAUCGAAACAAUAGAGACCUCCAAGUCUCUUCCCAACCUCAGGCAGAGAAAGCACCCUUCAAAAUCCAUCUUGGCCAAUAAGGAUGAAAAACCACUAAUAGCCAAAGAGACGGUGGAAGUCCCACAUUUUAAACCACCCCCAAAGGAUGAACUGGAUUUAAAACAUAAGCAUGAAAGAGAGGGCAAGAGGAAGGAUAGCAAGAGCGAGAAGCCAGAGAGUCCGAAGUCCGGUAAGAAACAAAAGCCGGUAGAAGAGGAUUUCAUGGUGGAGCACGUGUCUAAGGUCACAGCUGCUGCAACUGAAAGCAAACAAAAGAGAUCAAAGCAUUUCCAAGAACCCUUGAUGGACGCCUCUGACCUGAUCAUGUCUGUAAGGACUGCACAGCUGGGGGACCAGGACACCCAGACUCUGAUUGAAAUCCUCCUCAACAAGCAAGGCGGGGGAGGGGGAAAUAUAUCCUCUGAGUGGAAUAAGAAAAGUCAGAAGGGGGACCCUAUUGUUUUGUUGAGAAGACAGCUGGAAGAGAAGGAGAGGGCUCUUCAAGAAGAGCAAAACCUUGCCAUGGCUAACGCAAACAAAAUCAAGGAAAUUCGACAAGAGUUGGCCCAUGAGAAGACUCGAUUCACAACCUUGGAAGAACAGUACCAGGGGAAGAUAACUGCACAGACCCAGGAAAUUCAGGCCCUUCACGCCCGCAUGCAGUCCACACAUGAGAGUCACCUGAUAGAAAACAGCAGAAUGCAGGCUCAUAUCAAUAAACUGGAGCAACAGGCUCAGAACCAGGGGCAACUUCAACAGUUAAAGGAGGAAAAUAGAAAGCUUAAGGAAUCAUAUGAGAAAGUAAAAGCUGAAGCUAUCCCGCCUGCAGAAUUUAAUAGCCUUCGUCAGAAAGUUUCCAUCAUGGAAAAUGAAUUGUCCAGCAAUGUAAUCAAGCUCGCCUCAGCAGAUAAGGCCAAAAGUGCUGCAUUAUCUAAGUGUGCCAAGCUGGAGGAAGAGAUUAAAAAACUCAAAGGAACAGAGAGUGACGCAGAAGGGGUGUGGUCCAAGAGGUUAGAGGAAGUCAAUCAACAGCUGCGUAAGAGUGAGAACGAGAAGAAGACCCUCGCGGAUAAACUCAAGACGGCCGAGAAGGACUGCGCCGGGGUCAAGGCCAGACUGCAGGAACUCGAGAAGGCACUGAACGGAAACGACGCCAGCUCCAAGGAACUGGAAGAAAAACUCAAGAUGACUGAGACAGCCAAGGCUUCUGUUGAGUCCUCACUGAAGACGACAGAGAAAAAGCUACAGGAGAUAGAGAACCAGAAAAAUAAUAUCCAACAGGAACUAGAGACUUUGAAGAUGGAGAAUAAGAAGCUGGUAGAGGAAGCUAAGGUAAUCCGCGAGCGACCACUGGGUGAUGGACAGGAAGCACCUAAAGCCAAACCAAACGGAGACAUUCUCAGUGAGGAGAAGGCAUUACAGGAAUACAAAGAGGCCAUGGAGGAGUACAAGAAAACGGUUGCAGAAAAAGAUAAGACUAUUCAGAGUUUACAGAGUGACAUUGAUGUCCAGAAAAAAGAGGCAGCAAAAUUACUGGAGCAGAUAGAGGCUCAGAAGAAAAAGAAUAACGAAUUGAGAGAAAAGAAUUGGAAAGCUAUGGAUGCUUUAGAAAAGGCCGAAAAAUCAGCCUCUGAUAAAAUUACACGUGUUGAAAAAGAAGUCAAGGAGCAGACCACAGCAGCAGUUACAGAGACAGAAAAAUAUGACAAAAAUAUACUACAGAGGCUGUUCCCCAAGAUUUCUGUCAGCGAUAAAAUGAAUCACAAGGAUUGGAUGAACAGUUUUGAAAAAGAAGCUGCCGUCCAAAUAAAGGCAGCCUUAGAGAAAAAAGAUGAUAGUGCCAAAUUAAAAGAAUUAGAAGACAGCAAGAACUCGUUACAGACGCAAGUAACAGACCUGAAGAAAAAGGUUUCAGAAAGUGCCAAAUUGGAAGCUAGAGUGAAAGAGUUAGAGAGCAAGAAUACACAGCUACAGAAGCAGUUAGGUGACAGCAAAACCGAGUCCUCCUCACAGAUUACAGCUGCACAGAGUCUAGUAAAAGACUUAAAAGAACAAGUUAAACAGCUAGAAAAAGAAAAUGAAGAGAAUAAGUCUAAACUGGACCAGAGUAGCAGCAGUGACUCGCGGGUUCAGGAACUCGAGGAGGCCAACAGGAAACUCCAGAAGCAGGUGGAGGAUUACUUAGCUGUUCUACAGACCACAGAGACAAAACUGCAGCAGCUAGAGAACAGUGUAGAGGGGGAGGAGAGAAAGUGGCAGGACAAGGCAGAGGCCCUCACUGUAGAGUUAAAACAGGCAAAAGAUGAAAUUGCCUCUUUGAAACAAGAUGUAGAUAAAUACAAAAACAGUGAAGAGAUGAAAGCCAAAGUUUUAUCCUUAGAGGAUCAAUUGAAAAUUUCAGAAGAUAAAUGUACACAGCUUCAAGAUGAAGUAAACGAGGCUGAAACUCGAAUCUCAUCUCUACAGAGUUCAAUACAGCAAUCAAACACAGCUGACCUCUCUAAGGAAAUGCAGGACUUGAAGAGUCAGCUAGAAGCUGAGAUGAAGAAGAGUAAGGACCUUGCCUCACAGGUUGUGAGAUUAAACGGCAUUAUCAAAACUGGGCAGGACGCCAUCCAGCAAGAACAGGAGCUAGUCACAAAACUAAAGCAACAGCUGGAGGAGAGGGAAAAGAGCCCGGGGACCAACUCUAAUUCAACAGUGUCAGAGCUAAAGGUCAAACUAGAUGAAAAAGAAAAACAAUUAGAAAAAGAAAUCACCUUAAACAAACAGUUGUCCCAAAGACUGACACAAGAUUCAUCCUAGCUGCUGUCUCCAGGGACAGUUAGGUAUAAUGUUCUUUGAUGACUAUAAAAGUUGAGGCCAAAUCUCCGAGUGAUAGUGGAACUUCUGUGUGAUCCUAACGCAAACCAGAGAGACGGAAGCAGCAGGGAAAACUACCAGACUCUUAUUAUUGUGUAUAUAUAUACAGAUCAUGUCCGUAAUAAAUCAGAAAUAAUUCAAGAUUGAAGACAACUAUUUCACCGUGUGAAGGAGAAAGUGUCGGGCUUUGGUUAUGGGCACAGGCUAGUUUCAUUUUCAUUCAGUGCUACGUGUUAUAUCAUUUCAGUGCAGCAGUCUCGGUUUUACACAUCUUCUGUUUGUUUCACAUUUAGGUUGUCUUUCACAAUUUGAAUUUUUUUUUUUGGUAUUGCACAUUUUGAGGUGCAGCAUACCAGCUCUAAAAGUCUUGUGAUAAUCAAGUUAUGAUUGACUAUAAGCAUGUACUCGGCACUAGAUAAUCAUUGUGUAGACUAGUGAGCUUAUGUUACGGCGUAUUUAUUCCCCCAUAGUGUGUCGCAAACUUAUGUUGGCUUGUCUAGAAUAGGUUGCCAGAGUUGAUUACUAUAUUAUGAUAUCAGACAAUAUUAAUUCUAUUUCAUGUGAGUUGUUGAACCCAUGACAAAUAUCAAUGCAGUGAUGUAUUGUUUAGUCAAGAUUAACCCAACACUGUUUGAUGCUUUAUAAAGAAAGUGUACAUCCAUAUAGAGGCUUCAUUGUAAAACAUUUUUAUCAAGAGGAAUAUAAAUUUUUGUUGUUGAUGAAUUGAUUUUAUGUAUAUAUAUUGUUUAAAUUCAAUAUUUAAGAUAAAAUAUGACUUUAACCAUCAAAUGGUAUGUGAUUGAUCAUUAUUACUAUUUAAUUAUUUCUCUGUUGUUGGGCUAGUGGUGGUGUAGAAGUGAACGGUUGUUGUGUGUUGGAAUCUUACCCCCAGCAGUAAGAAAUUGACACUUUGUCUGUCUGUCUCUGGGUUUGUCUCCAUAUUUACCUCAUGUACUUAUCAAUUGUCUGUAAUCAAAUAUGUAGUCCCAAACCCAGUUCGAAUAAAACCAUCCCUCGGCAAAAUGUUGGUGCUAGGAUUUUUUUUAAAGUUAUAUUUUUGAUUGAUAAUUCAAACACAUUUUUUGUUAAUAUGCACCCACAUGGUGUAAGAAUUUCUCAAACAAUUUCACGCCAUUGUUUAUAUUUCAUUAAUUCUAGUGAUUAGAGUACAAUGUAUUAAUAUCAAAGAUAUUUAGACAAGAAUCGGGGACCAGGGUUUAGAAUUUAGUCAUUAUAAAAAUAUCAAAAAUAGUUCUUUUUACUAUUAGGUAUGUGUCCACAUAUGGAACAGUAUUUUAUUGUGUGAGAGGGUGAAAAUGGAACAUACCAUUACAGACAAUAUGUAUGAUAUGUUGGAAUUAAAUGUGAUUUUUUGUUAUAUAUAUUUUAUAAGGCAUGUUGUUGCUUGCGAGUAGUUUGCCACAGGCUAUAAAAUAUCAAUAUGUGUUAGCUACACACCUCGACAUAUUAUGUGUAUAUCCAUAGAUCACAGACAUUGAGCCUAGUCAUAUUUGUUUACUUAAUAAUUUCUGUUUUGUCACAACAAGAUUUAAGAGUCACCAAUUAUAAUAACAGUUCUUGGAAGACGUUCUGCACACAUUUGUUGUGCCGAUACUACUUGUUAUGAGGAGAACGGAUGAUUUAGUUUUAAGGGUUUAUUUGUUAAUGAUGAGUUGUGUCGGAUUUGACUGUAUUAUGACACAGGGUAUCGUCAAAUGAUGAUGACGAUAUCUUACCAGCAAUAUGUACCCAAUCUGUCAAUAAAUCUAUAUCCAGCUGA